rnacentral:rRNA from 1 species
ACGGAAGGCAGCAGUGGGGAAUAUUGGACAAUGGGGGAAACCCUGAUCCAGCGACGCCGCGUGAGUGAAGAAGUAUUUCGGUAUGUAAAGCUCUAUCAGCAGGGAAGAUGAUGACGGUACCUGACUAAGAAGCCCCGGCUAACUACGUGCCAGCAGCCGCGGUAAUACGUAGGGGGCAAGCGUUAUCCGGAUUUACUGGGUGUAAAGGGAGCGUAGGCGGUUUUACAAGUCUGAUGUGAAAGCCCGGGGCUCAACUCCGGUACUGCAUUGGAAACUGUAGAACUAGAGUGUCGGAGGGGUAAGUGGAAUUCCUAGUGUAGCGGUGAAAUGCGUAGAUAUUAGGAGGAACACCAGUGGCGAAGGCGGCUUACUGGACGAUUACUGACGCUGAGGCUCGAAAGCGUGGGGAGCAAACAGGAUUAGAUACCCUGGUA